UACAGAGGUCCCAAGCGUUGUUCGGAAUCAUUGGGCGUAAAGCGCGUGUAGGCGGUUCGGUAAGUCCGCUGUGAAAGUCGGGGGCUCAACCCUCGGAUGCCGGUGGAUACUGUCGAGCUUGAGUACGGAAGAGGCGAGUGGAAUUCCUGGUGUAGCGGUGAAAUGCGCAGAUAUCAGGAGGAACACCAAUUGCGAAGGCAGCUCGCUGGGACGUUACUGACGCUGAGACGCGAAAGCGUGGGGAGCAAACAGG
rnacentral:rRNA from 1 species